GCACACGUGUUUGGUGACGCAGAGACUCAGGAAGUGAUUGCACGGUGUGCAUGUGAAGUUCUCUUGCAUGUUGAGGAAGCGUUAUAGCGUUUGGGCGUAAUUUACUUUCUGCUUAAAUGAGUAAUAUGGAUGACGAUAUUUUAAGUCUGAAGAAACAGCUCCUGGAAAAAGAUGCGGAAAUCGCUGCUUUAAAAAACAAGCUCCAGCAAAUCCAUAAGGAUAAUUCUUUACUAAUGGACUUACAAGACCAGGUAUCGCAUUUGGCUCAGCUGCAGUAUACUUCUUUAACCAACGAUGACAUUAUGCGAUACAGUAGGCAGCUGCUCUUGCCAGAGCUCGGUGUCAAAGGUCAGAUGAGUCUCUUAAACACGUCUGUUUUGGUGGUGGGAUGUGGAGGUUUAGGUUGUCCUCUAGCCCUCUACCUCGCUGCGGCUGGAAUAGGGCGUUUGGGACUGUUGGAUUAUGACGAGGUGGAGCUAAGUAAUCUGCACAGACAGGUUCUGCACACAGAGCGGACACAGGGUCUGCCCAAAGCCCAGUCUGCAGCACAGGCCCUAAGCAGGUUAAAUUCUACAACACAGUGUGUGCCAUAUCAUCUCCAGCUCUCCUCUGAGAAUGCCUUACAACUCAUCCAACAGUAUGACAUUGUGGCUGAUUGUUCAGAUAAUGUUCCAACACGGUACCUUGUCAACGAUGCCUGUGUUCUCAGUGGCAAACCCUUAGUGUCUGCAAGUGCUUUGCGAAUGGAAGGCCAGCUCACUGUGUACAAUUACAAUGGAGGGCCUUGCUACAGGUGUUUAUAUCCUGUUCCCCCACCACCUGAAACUGUCACAAACUGCUCUGAUGGAGGAGUCUUAGGAGUGGUGGUUGGAGUCAUGGGCUGUCUUCAAGCUUUAGAGGUUCUGAAGAUUGCUUCUGGCCAAAAAUCUUCCUUUGGACAGCAGCUGCUGAUGUUUGAUGCUCAGGAUGGUCGGUUUCGCUGCAUAAAGCUGAGAGCCAAGCAGGCUGGCUGUGUUGUUUGUGGAGAGAUGCCCACAGUAACAGAGCUGCAGGACUAUGAGAGCUUCUGUGGCUCGUCUGCAACAGAUAAGUGUCGAAGAUUGAAUCUUCUAUCUGCAGAACAGCGAGUCUCUGUGCAGGAGUAUAAAUCCAUUGUGGACUGCGGUACUCCUCAUCUCCUACUUGAUGUUCGGCCCAAAGUAGAGAUAUUCCACUUGCCAGUUUAGAGGAUCAAAAGGGAGACCAUAUUCACUUCUUAAAGGAGAAGAUCAAUGAGCUAAAAUUGCAGAUGAGCUCUGACUUAGAAGUCCCAGUGUAUGUAGUGUGUAAACUGGGGAAUGACUCUCAGACGGCUGUGCAGCUACUGGAGAAGAUGUCUGGAACUGAACUAGAGAACAUCACUGUCAAAGAUAUCACUGGAGGCCUGAUGGCCUGGGCUAAUAAGAUUGAUCCCUCUUUUCCAAAAUAUUAACUUUCAUUCAUUUGUAUUUCUUUAUCGAAAAAGUAAACAACCUAGUCAUUA